AACGAACGCUGGCGGCAUGCCUAACACAUGCAAGUCGAACGAAGCCUUCGGGCUUAGUGGCGCACGGGUGCGUAACGCCUGGGAAUCUGCCCCUUGCUUCGGAAUAACAGAUAGAAAUGACUGCUAAUACCGGAUGAAGUCUUCGGACCAAAGAUUUAUCGGUAAGGGAUGAGCCCGCGUAGGAUUAGGUAGUUGGUGGGGUAAAGGCCUACCAAGCCGACGAUCCUUAGCUGGUCUGAGAGGAUGAUCAGCCACACUGGGACUGAGACACGGCCCAGACUCCUACGGGAGGCAGCAGUGGGGAAUAUUGGACAAUGGACGCAAGUCUGAUCCAGCAAUGCCGGGUGAGUGAUGAAGGCCUUAGUGUUGUAAAGCUCUUUUACCAGGGAUGAUAAUGACAGUACCGGGAGAAUAAGCUCCGGCUAACUCCGUG
rnacentral:rRNA from 1 species